CAAAUACUCCUGGCUCAAUGCUAUAUAAAACUCAUGGUCUAUGAAGAAAAAGGUGAUUUGCAUUCAUUAUACAAAGCGAGAAAAGGAGGAGCAAGAAGGUGUAUGUGUAUGCAAAGGGAAAAGUGCAGGGCAUUAUUGUUUCAUGUCUGGAUGGAGACAAGAUCCUAUAUGAGUCCUAAGAUCAAGGAAGCCAGACUAGUUUUGAGAAUAUUCUUUACUCCUCCCCUCAGCUUCAUGAAGCAGUGAUACAUGAAGACAGCAGACUUGUUGAAGUGCAGAGAACAGGACUCUAUGGUACACUUGAGGCUUUAUUGAUCUUUACACUUGACCUCGAAGCAUAACAGGAAACUAUAAGGAAGAACAUUAAAAAGGAGAAAUGAAAAAUUUUAAAUUGAACAGGCAUCGAAUGUCUUAGCCUGUGAGACUUGAGCCUACAAAAAUAAAAUUGUAUGAUGGUAAGACUUUGGCUGGCAACCAAUCUAGAGAGCAUGGAGCGGGUAAGAAACAAUCCAGAACUCCUGCAGAUAAGAGGAGAUUGCUAAUUCAUCCUGUGUGCAUCAACAGAUGCACUGACUUGAAUAAUUAUUAAUUCCUUAAAUGUAUCAGCUGCAAUCUACGUAUAAAAGAUACUGAAACAGAAGCCUUAUCUAACACGCUGAGUGACCCUGGCUCUGAAGACACAGUUUCUCAUUGAUUUAUAUGCUUUCAUAUGAGGCAUCAGGAAAAAAGAAGCCAAUCCUCAAGGCAAUAUAGUGGAAUCAUAGAAACCGUUUAUUCAUACUUAUUUCUGAAAGGACAAGUAAUACAAAAUACGUACAGUUACAAGAGGUGUUUGAGAAAAUGGCAUGGAAUGUCUGAAGAGACAGCCAGUGGCAUCACGGCAAGGGGCAACUUCCAGCUGUGAUGUUCUUUCUUCCUGAUCCACUCAGCAGCUCCUGAAGGAAUGAGGUGAAAAUCAACAUUGCUGUCAUGAUGCUGAGUAUCACCAGCCACAACAAAUGUGUAUUCAAUGAUGAGCUAAUCCUAGGGAACAGAAAGGAUUGAUUCAAUUUUAUUUCCAGGGACUGACAACUUUCCAGAUACCUGGUUCUCAGAAGAGAGAAAAGAACUACACCCAAUGGACUUCAUGUUCAAAGAGGAAGAUAAGCCACGGGAGGAAGUCACGGAAUCUCUCUCUCUUGCUCCUUCAGUUCAAAUGCAGUCUUUCCAGAAUGUCUUCUGAGAUAGUACAUCUGACUCUUACAGGUGGUUUGAUGCAGUUAUCAACAUGCUCUUGAACACUGAAAUCUAUUUUGUAACUACUGUUGAAAUACUAUUUAACCACACGCAGAAAAAAGGUGACCUCUGGAAAAUGUGCCUUGGGAAAUGAAGGUCUUAAACUGACUUUUAUGGUAAAAACGGAGAUCAGAAGUUCCCAAGCAUUUCCAGGAUACCAGUGCAUAUGUUUUUAUUGUGACUGGUAUACAUGAUGGAAAGAACACUCUUUACCCAUCACCUUUGAUGUGAGCUUUAACAAGGAAGGUGACUUCCAAGUCUAUGUAUGGAUUCUACUUCAAGUACUCAGAACAGAGCCUGAAAUUUGUCUCUCCCUCUGGCCCACGUUCUAUGGAAUAUCUUUUUCAAUGUCUUGUUCGCUGACUUUAGGGGUUGCUUCCCAAUUGUAGUCUUUGAUUUUUGUAUUUUUGACACUCUUAUUUUAUUAAUUUAAUUUUGGAGGUCUAGAUUUUGUCAAGAGGAACAAGAAAGUAAAAUUAGAUAAUUCAGCGCCGUGCUAUUUAAAUCCAUCUUAGGUGUGGAUUUAAGAUCUGUCUCAAAUAUUAAGGGUUUCCAUAAUAAUGAAUUCUUCAGGAAUAUUCAGAACUGGGGGGAAAAAAAAAGAAAAAAACAAAGGAAAUGUAUAUGCAGCCCAGAUUUCUCUACCUCACUCAGCAACAGAAAUCAGAGCAAACUAUUACAGUGUAAGCAAAGUAUUUAGUUCAAAAUGGACCUAGAAAUUUGAAGUAAAAGCGAAUUGCAUAUUUCAGGCUUCUGUACUUUAAGAGAUUAGUUACAGGUGUUUUCAUGUAAUUACUUCAUUCCUCUUUAAUAUUUUAUGAUGUAAGUGACCUUGAGAAAUACAUCUUUUUUUUAAUGUAACAAUAGUACGUAUUUUAAAGAUGCUGCAAAAAUUUUAUUUCCCAUCUGUUUAUUUCUAUACUUUUGGACUGAGAAGCAAAGCUGCUGAGCAUGAUGAAUACUCACACAAACCAGAAAUGCAGCGACCAGGACUGUCCACAGUACUCAAGAUAUGUGUGGAGGAGCCUACUUAGCAUCCCUUGAUGCCUGAAGUCUGAAAAGGAUAAUUGUGGAAAAUGCAGCUUUAUUAUGAAGGUGAUGGAAAGUACCACAGUAAUAGCGGGGGCAGCAAAGUGUUUGGCUGCAGCAAAUGAGGACACAGAAAUGAAGGAAAGGAGCUGCUUACCUUUGGAAGGCCUCAGCUUUUAAUACAAGCCAUUCUGAGGAUGUAGACAUGUGGUUUGGGUUUCAGAGAUGACUGUCCACAGAGCUCCCCUCUACCUUUUCUCAGACCGUGAUGUUGCACAGUCAGGUAGCGGAUAAGCAGAAGAAGCAGCAGCAAAGAGCUCCUUCAGCAACUCACAUGUAAAAAAGCUGCCAUAAAAAUGGGGCUAUCAAGCUUACCAGUGUUUUAUUUAGGACAUCUGUAUGGGAACUGCUGAGUCACGGCCUGAACCUCUGAUCACCUGAGGCGAACCACGAGUCAGCCAGAGGAGCACAGGUGACCAGGUGGUUUGAGAAACUCCACAGUUUGGAAAGGCAAAAGACUCCAAAGGCAAGUACCCUCAAACACCCCAACACUUCAAAUUGGAAAACAGCAGAUUCAGAAAUGCAUCCUGAGAAAAAUAACAUACUCCAUUACAGCAAGAAAUCCUCUAAAAAGCUCAUCACAGGAAUUGUGAUUUUCAGGAAGAGGAUCAGAAAUAUGCUUAUUCAAGAUGACAGUGUGAACAAGACCUUCUAGAAAUGAAAGUUUUGUGAGAGCUACAGAAACAGCUUCAUCAAAAACUACUACAAGAUUGAGGAACAUUGCAUUGCAUGUGGGACAAAAUCUUGCAUCAACUGCUAGUGACAACCCUUCAUCAGAGCUCUUUCUAGUGUAGUUAUGUUGUUUGCUAAUUUUUUUUUAAUCUGUUAUCUCUUGAAUAAGUGAAAACUUCUACACGAUACAGAAAAGUAAGAAUUGGGGUGGAAAAUAACAUUCCCAAGAUCACCGCUACCUGAAAAUGAAUUUAUGUGUUUUUCCAGUUAACCUUACAGGCAGCUCAGCACCAUAUCAUUGUUCAGUCACUCCUCCCACCCAGUGAGAUGGUGAAGAGAAUCAGGAGAAAAAUCAGAUAGAACACAUGGGUUGGGAUAAAAUACUAUUUACUAAGACAAAAAAAAAAAAAAAAAAGUAAAAUAGUAAUAUUAAUGAUAGCAAUACAUAUUUAUAAAACAAAUAACACACAACAGAAUUGCUCACCAAUUGCCAACUGAUGGGCGGUCAGUCUAUGAGCAGUACUUGCCCCUUAGCCAGCUUCCCACUGUGGAUUUUAUUGUUUUUUUUUUUUU